rnacentral:rRNA from 1 species
GAGUUUGAUCCUGGCUCAGAUUGAACGCUGGCGGCAGGCCUAACACAUGCAAGUCGAACGGUAACAGAAAGCAGCUUGCUGCUUUGCUGACGAGUGGCGGACGGGUGAGUAAUGUCUGGGAAACUGCCUGAUGGAGGGGGAUAACUACUGGAAACGGUAGCUAAUACCGCAUAACGUCGCAAGACCAAAGAGGGGGACCUUCGGGCCUCUUGCCAUCGGAUGUGCCCAGAUGGGAUUAGCUUGUUGGUGGGGUAACGGCUCACCAAGGCGACGAUCUCUAGCUGGUCUGAGAGGAUGACCAGCCACACUGGAACUGAGACACGGUCCAGACUCCUACGGGAGGCAGCAGUGGGGAAUAUUGCACAAUGGGCGCAAGCCUGAUGCAGCCAUGCCGCGCGUAUGAAGAAGGCCUUCGGGUUGUAAAGUACUUUCAGCGGGGAGGAAGGGAGUAAAGUUAAUACCUUUGCUCAUUGACGUUACCCGCAGAAGAAGCACCGGCUAACUC